rnacentral:rRNA from 1 species
CAUAUCAAUAAGCGGAGGAAAAGAAACCAACGGGAUUGCCCUAGUAACGGCGAGUGAAGCGGCAAAGCUCAAAUUUGAAAUCUGGCCGUCCGAGUUGUAAUUUGAGAGGAUGUUGCAAGUCCUUGGAACAGGCGUCCAGAGGGUGAGAAUCCCGUACCUGUGAGCUCCUUCAAGAGUCGAGUUGUUUGGGAAUGCAGCUCUAAUGGGAGGUAAUUUCUUCUAAAGCUAAAUACGGCCAGAGACCGAUAGCGCACAAGUAGAGUGAUCGAAAGAUGAAAAGCACUUUGGAAAGAGAGUUAAAAGUACGUGAAAUUGUUGAAAGGGAAGCGCUUGCACCAGAUGGUCCUCGCUCCAGGCCAGCAUCGGUUGCGGUGAAAAGAAUGUGCCUGGGGGUUAUAGCUGAUGCGCCGGCGAGGCGCGCUCGCAGGAUGCUGGCUAAUGGUGUAGCGGCCCGUCUUGAAACACGGACCAAGGAGUCUAACAUCUGUGCGAGUGUUGGGUGUAAGCCCACGCGAAUGAAAGUGAACGGAGGCGGGACGUGCACCGUCGACCGAUCCUGAUGUCUUCGGAUGGAUUUGAGUAAGAGCAUAGCUGUUGGGACCCGAAAGAUGGUGAACUAUCCUGAAUAGGGUGAAGCCAGAGGAAACUCUGGUGGAGGCUCGCAGCGGUUCUGACGUGCAAAUCGAUCGUCAAAUUUGGGAUAGAAAACUAAUCGAACCGUCUAGUAGCUGGUUCCUGCCGAAGUUUCCCUCAGGAUAGCAGUAACGUUCAGUUUUAUGAGGUAAAGCGAAUGAUUAGAGGCCUGGGGGUGAAACACCUUCACCUAUUCUCAAACUUUAAAUAUGUAAGAAGUCCUUGUUCUUGUUGAACGGGACAUGAAUGACGUUACUAGUGGGCCAUUUUUGGUAAGCAGAACUGGCGAUGCGGGAUGAACCGAACGGGGUUAAGGUGCCGAAUGCACGCUCAUCAGACACCACAAAAGGUGUUAGUUCAUCUGACAGCAGGACGGUGGCCAUGGAAGUCGGAACCGCUAAGGAGUGUGUAACAACUCACCUGCCGAAUGAACUAGCCCUGAAAAUGGAUGGCGCUCAAGCGUGCUACCAUACCCCCGCCGGGGGUGCUCGGCGAGUAGGCAGGCGUGGGGGCGUGACGAAGCCUUGGG